UACAGAGGUCUCAAGCGUUGUUCGGAUUCAUUGGGCGUAAAGGGUGCGUAGGCGGCGUGGUAAGUCGGAUGUGAAAUCUCGGAGCUUAACUCCGAAACUGCAUUCGAUACUGCCGUGCUUGAGGACUGGAGAGGAGACUGGAAUUUACGGUGUAGCGGUGAAAUGCGCAGAUAUCAGGAGGAACACCAAUGGCGAAGGCAGCUCGCUGGAACGGAACUGACGCUGAGGCGCGAAAGCGUGGGGAGCGAACAGG
rnacentral:rRNA from 1 species